GAUGAACGCUGGCGGCGUGCCUAAUACAUGCAAGUCGAGCGAACGGACGAGAAGCUUGCUUUUCUGAUUUUAGCGGCGGACGGGUGAGUAACACGUGGAUAACCUACCUAUAAGACUGGGAUAACUUCGGGAAACCGGAGCUAAUACCGGAUAAUAUUUUGAACCGCAUGGUUCAAAAGUGAAAGACGGUCUUGCUGUCACUUAUAGAUGGAUCCGCGCUGCAUUAGCUAGUUGGUAAGGUAACGGCUUACCAAGGCAACGAUGCAUAGCCGACCUGAGAGGGUGAUCGGCCACACUGGAACUGAGACAAGGUCCAGACUCCUACGGGAGGCAGCAGUAGGGAAGCUUCCGCAAUGGGCGAAAGCCUGACGGAGCAACGCCGCGUGAGUGAUGAUGGUCUUCGGAUCGUAAAACUCUGUUAUUAGGGAAGAACAUAUGUGUAAGUAACUGUGCACAUCUUGACGGUACCUAAUCAGAAAGCCACGGCUAACUACGUG
rnacentral:rRNA from 1 species